rnacentral:rRNA from 1 species
GACGAACGCUGGCGGCGUGCUUAACACAUGCAAGUCGAACGGUAAGGCCCUUCGGGGUACACGAGUGGCGAACGGGUGAGUAACACGUGGGUGAUCUGCCCUGCACUUCGGGAUAAGCCUGGGAAACUGGGUCUAAUACCGGCUAGGACCACUUCCUGCAGCGGUGGGGGUGGAAAGCUUUUGCGGUGUGGGAUGGGCCCGCGGCCUAUCAGCUUGUUGGUGGGGUGAUGGCCUACAAAGGCGACGACGGGUAGCCGGCCUGAGAGGGUGACCGGCCACACUGGGACUGAGAUACGGCCCAGACUCCUACGGGAGGCAGCAGUGGGGAAUAUUGCACAAUGGGCGCAAGCCUGAUGCAGCGACGCCGCGUGAGGGAUGACGGCCUUCGGGUUGUAAACCUCUUUCAGCACCGACGAAGCGAAAGUGACGGUAGGUGCAGAAGAAGGACCGGCCAACUACGUGCCAGCAGCCGCCGUAA